ACGCCAGUAGCUCAAUAGGUAGAGUAGGGGUCUCCAAAACCUCAGGUUGGGGGUUCGAUUCCCUCCUGGCGUGCCA
rnacentral:tRNA from 1 species